GCCGGCCAUGCAAAACAACAUACUCCACACUCUCCUCCACAGUCAACAGCCUCUCUGAGCAAAGUUGAAUCCUACUCACACAAACGUCAACCAGCCCCAAUAAAAAGCCACACGAAUCUUGGAUGGUCUGAAGAGUGCAUGGCAAAACUGCUGCCAGCCACUGGCACAGCUUGUGACUGAGAACAGAGUGUGGCAUACCGUGGCCCCUGAGGACCCAUGUACCACAAACACACGACUGCGCAAAACCGCAGUCAUACGCCUGGACACAAUCAACACAAUAACAGGCUUUCUGCUCACACCAGGGAGUUUAGUAGUGGAGGUUUGUACUUUCUGUUCUCUGAAAUGUUGUUGACUAAAGACUGAGGCAAACACACACACACACACUGACCAGCAAAGAGAGAGUGUGAGCGAUGAUGUCCCUUAAUUAACUUGGGAAGUGUUUAAGAUACACGGUGUUCUCUCCAGACAUGACCCAGAUCCUCGAGUGCACAGCAAGGAGAAAAGAGUGGGUGGAGGAGGAAAAGUGAUAGAGAUAAAUACAGGCCAACAGAACAGUGUCAUGCUCACAUAUUACAUAUGACCUCAAUCAAAAUCUACAAACACUUUCACAACAAUUAAUUUGAAUUGUAAUUAAAAUCAAGCAGAUCAAGUAGUAAUUGAUUUAAUCUCAGAUUAUAAAAAGCAAAUGAGAUGAUGAUGACUUGUGUGUUCAUGAAUAUUAAUAUAUAUGCGUCAAUAUAUGACCCUCCAUAUAACUGCACAUGUGUAUGAGUGACAGCUCUCUCCGGAGAGCCCCUUUCAUUCUCCUCUCGUCUCCCUGCCGGACACUACACUCCCUUCCUUCAUUGCUUGUCCAUCUCGUGGGAGGGGAAUCAAUUAUUUUUUUAAUAAGAGUUCCAAUUAUUCCUGCGCACAUUGUGCUAAAUAUAAGCCUUAUUGUCAGAAGGCCGGAGUUUGACCCCUGUCAGAUGAGCGCUGAGUGUUGUGUUAAGGCCCUCAUACUCUUGAACACUGAGUACCAUUCAUUACAGAGACCCAGUGUAACGAGACAAGCCCACCGCACAUCAACACGAGGCCUGUCAACCCCACUGGCAUGGGGAAGGAAAUUAUUUUUACCUUGCCAAGUGGGAUCGUGAAAGUUUGUGUGAAAUUUAUGUGUAGAAUGACAGUGGACGACUGACAGAGUGUGCUCUCCUUAGUAAUUGACUUGUAUGCUCUGCACGGUAAUAAAAUGACACACUUCACCUUAAACAACAACAGAAGAAAGAUUUUAUGGCAUAUUUGUUAGAAUGACAGAUGUGGGGUCAAGUCAAGUUGUCACCUUUAUUUAUAUAGCGCUUUAUACAAUACAGGUUGUGUCAAAGCAGCUUUAACAGUGUUAAACAGGAAAAUGUCGAUAAUGCAGGAGGACAAUAGUAAACAGGGGCAAGAUGCUAUUUUAAUUUCUGAGGGGACAUUGUUAUUGUUAUCUAAAACUAAAACCAAAUUUUAAAGUAAAACAUAAAAUGCUAAAAAAUAAAUAAAUAACAAUUGAUUUUAAUUUAAAUAAAGCUGAAAUAAAAUAUUGUACUGUAAUUGUACUACAUUAUUAAUUGUUGGUCAGUGUACACAUGCAUACACAUUUCUGUCAUUUCAUUAUUAUUCUUUUUUAUUUAUUUAUUUAUUUAUUCAGCAUCAUGGCAUUGCUUUUGUAAGAUGCUAUUUCAAGUUAAAAAUAGUUCAACUUUUAAUAUUUCUAAAUAUAAAUAUAUUUUUAAAUAGUAAUAUAUACAAUAAAUAUAUAAAUACAAUAAUAUAUUAAUAAGUAAUCAUUUCAUAGAAAUAUUUAUAUCAUAUUUAUAAAAAUGUACUUUUGAUCACCACACAUUUUAGUUCCAUCUAAAACAAGAUUUUCUAGACUACCCUUUAGGCAACUUGCCCUGUGUGAACAGCGAUGGUAAUGUUGAUUCAAAAUACUGCUCUUCAAAUUCACAGAAAUGUUGUUUACAAUCAGUGAUGGGAAUAACGGCGUUAUAAAUAAACGGCGCUACUAACGGCGUUAUUUUUUCAGUAACUAGUAGGCUAAUCAAACGAAUUACUGUUUUCCCCGUUACAACGCCGUUACCGUUACUGACAAUAAAAUGCGGCGUUACUAUAAUUUAUUAUAAUAUUAUUAUCAUUUAAUUUUUCCGUUUAUCUGAAUGGACGCACAGUGUAGCUGUAUUUGACUUACCGUAAACUCUAGUAGGCGCACGACUCGCCGUCGCUUUUUUCACACGCGCAAAGAAAGAUACAGAGCGAGAUUUCAUAACAUGCAGAAUUGACACGCUACAUGUAAACGAUAUUCUUUGUUGUAUUUUCCUGUCAAAAUAACGGAGAUCCUUUUGGAAUUCUUCAGCUUUUAUCUAAUCAUUUUAUUCUAAUUACUAAAGUUCUAUCAUCAUAUAAUGCUAAAUUAUCAUAAUUUCAUAUUAUAAUGCUUAACUGACUGAUGCUAAGUGUCAGAUAUUAAAAAAAAAAAAAAAAAAAAA